rnacentral:sRNA from 1 species
AGUCAUCGUCUUCGUUAU